UUCUGGCAGCCCCCUCCCACCCUACCCCUACCUCACUUAUUAACAGAACCUGGCAGAAAUAACCAAUGGAGAGGGGAGAUUUUUAUUUUUAUUUUUGGUUCAAAAGCUUCAGCCAUUCAUCUCAAAAUGGAAGAAGAGGCCAGGGUUAGAAGCAACUGAAGGGCAGUCCCCAGCUUCCACCAGGACCCAGCUUCCACCAUUUCACUGAUCCUCAGUAGUGACUACAUAAACACGGACUCUACUGAAUUAAACCGUUCACUAGGCCCGAGCCCUGGAAGCACACCCAUAAGAGCCCCUCAGUGAUCUACACAUUUCUCAGUCCAAUCAAAGUGACAAUUCUGAUUAACUACAAAAUGUCUUCAAGGCCGCCAAAUCUCACCUUUCCACUUAGGAGAACCCAGAAGCCUUUGCUUGUGGGAAGUCCUACCCGUGCUUAACACUUGCUGAGUCUGCUUUGUCUCAGCCUUAUAAAACAUGGUCUGUCAGGCUGUUUGUUUUUACCAGAGGAAGACCAAGGACUUGACUAUUUCUCAUGCCAGUAGGACACUCCAUUCCACAACUUGGAAGUGGCAGACUCGCAGCGAUCAGUCAUUUUUGAGGCAUCUGGGGAUAAAUCCAGCAGUGUUUAUACCCAGCUUCUGGCUCAAGGAACCAUCUCUGCAGCUUCUCAGAGCCUGCGGAGUCAGCGGCAAACCAGCUGCUCAGAAGGCUGAGAUACUGUUAUGAUUUCCCCCACGAAUCCCGAAGUCUACCCUGUCCAGAAUCAAUUCUGGGCUUAGUUUGAUGCAAAGCAGACACCCAGCAGGAGACUCGGACAGACUCUGGCUCUGGAGGGAUUUUAAACAGCAGCUCAGUCAGCGGGACUCCGGAGCUGUGGAACUCACUGGGGUGGAGGGGCCUGCUUUUCCAGAGAAGACAGGAGAACACGCUGUAAUUCCGGUUCCAGGAUUCGGGAGCAUAAAACAAACAGCGUCUCCAGUUCCCACAUUCCAGAGCCGAGAUGUUACGCAGAGAUUGAAAGUGGGCUGUUCAAGGUGACAUUUCGGGCGCUGCAGCUGAGGAAGAAGCCUCUGGAGUGGAAAGUUUUAGUCUCUCCUUAAGGAAAAAAUGGCCACAACUGCGUGAGGCUCUGCUGUGUGAGCAGACGUGCCAAAUCCAUUGGUCUCCACAUCCGCAUAAUUUAAGCACGCACAUAAUUUACGCGUUAGUUCAAUACUACUCGUUAGGGUUUAAAUCUCGGCCCGUGCCGGGACAGAACACACCAAACCAACAUGUGGAGAGGUUUAAUGAGAGAAGAAGAGUGAAAGAGAGGAAAGGUGGCCAUGGGCACGUGGAGGGAAGGGGGUUGGGGGUAGGGAGAGAAGGGACAAGGACAAAGAGGGCAAGAGAAGGGGAGAGAGAGAGAGAGAGAGAGAGAGAGAGAGAGAGAGAGAGAGAGAGAGAGAGAGAGAGAGAGAGGAGGGGGGAGAGGGAGGGAGGAGGGGGCAAGCAGCCCCCUUUAUAGGCAGGCACAGCUGGCUGUUGCUAGGCAACUGUGGGGCGGAGCAUACCUGGCUACUGCCAGGUAGCUAUGGAGAUGGAGCCUAGAAUACCAACGCUACUCCCGUUGUGUUUUAAAGAAUAAAAUGAGACGCAGAAAAACUCUCCUGAAAUUAUCUACCCAGGAAAGAAACUCUGGCAAUUGAAUCUUUGUUCUCCUGCCUCACUGAGAAGGAGGCUGCUCUCUACAGAGCCAGUGGCCAUGACAACCGUCCAAAGCCGACUUCUUGGGGUUUUCUCGCUGAGACAGGAGCUGGGGUCUUCCACAGAGCACCACUUAAGUCUGAUUUGCAGCGAAGCCCGGAGGACUCUGAUGUCUCACUGCCCUCUUUCGAUGGAUGACGUCUACCGCGGCCACCUUUGAAGGACGCCCGCCCCGUGGGUGUGAAUUGUUACUUCAAUGCCAUGGGUUGUUUUAAAAUAAAAUCCCUGCCGUCCAAUUUUAUCAAUGAAGACUCUGGAGCCAGAAGCUGGGGUGCAAACCUGCUGACUGCCCUACUCCACUGACAUCGGGAAGGAAAUGGCUCCCAGUCCUAUCCACCCUGUCUUAAGUACCUUUCAACUCAAAGACCCUCCCUUCUCUUUCCUCGUGCUUAUCCCCCCCACCCUUGCUGGAUGCUGCUCUACCUCUUACCUAUCCUGACUUCCUGUAGCUCUGGUUUGCAGAAAGCUCUUGGGUUAAAGGUGUGUGCGCUAGGGCUCAGCUACAUCACAACGAGUAACAGAUUAUUUUUUAUUUUCCAGUUCACAAUCUCUAGGUUCACAAUGUGACCAAAGAUCCCGCCAAAGAUGUGUGUGCAGUUUUAAUUUUUUUAAUAUUUAUUGAAUGUGUAUGUGUAUGCUUGAGCGGAUGUCUGCACGCCACAUGUGUGUGGGUACAUUUUUAAAAACAACGCGUAGCUAGCAAGCACAAGGCCCUGGGUUCGGUCCCCAGCUCUGAAAAAAAGAAAAGAAAAAAAAAAAAAAAACGCGUAGAUGGUUAAGCGUUUAACACCUCACUGUUUUAGACUGCCAGAAGACCGAGGCUAUUGGAACAGCAGUGUGAAGCAGUGCUGGAUGACAUGUAAAGCGACCCCGACCUUGUCCUGAUUCUCAGGACCUGCUUGGGAUUGGACUUGGUCUCUCUGGACACCGUCUGCCUGAUUAAUCCCUUCCUCCCCUAAUGAAGGGAGAGGGAUGUGCACACAGCCACAUUCCUCUCCAAUUGGCCAGAAGUGGGAAACCCUCAAAUGCAAGCAACCUGAGAGGAGCAACAGGGGCCAAGCAGAAAGACGCUGCCACUUUAAGGUGCAGAAUGGCUGGAAGUUGAUUCUGUAAACCACAGAGGCACAGAGCAGCAGUCCUGAGAGCCAGGGAAAGGCAGCUCAGAGGUGAGUGCUGGGAAAGAGGUCUGCCAGAGCCCGCUCCCAUCUCUGAGUCCUCUCUGAGAACCAGGAGGCAUGAAGCAUCCCUCCCUCCUACCUCACGUAACUCUGCUGUGUCCACACAGCCAUCCCCUGGGGACAUUUCCCUCCCCAGACAGACAAUGUGAGUGCACACUCCAGUACUGUUCACACCUCACCUCUGGAGCAGAGUGGCAGAGAGAAAUUUAGAGGAAGGGGAUUCGGGGAAAGAAAGAUGAAUGAUAAAGCCCCACCCCUUCACAGAUGCGCGAGUGUGCGCGCGUGCACACACACACACACACACCCAUAAAUAGGACUUCUGGGUGACUGAGAGCAUUGCCUCCUCUAACCCUCCCACAAGCCUUCUCUGAGCCGCUGAGUAAAUACCCGUUGGGUCAGCAGGAAGGCCAUACAUAAUGAUAAACAGCCACCAUUUUCAACUACAGUGGACAUUUUCGAGACUGCACAUUAUCAAAAAUAAGAGCCCUGCUCGAAGUCCUCAGGAGUGGGCACCCAAGGGCACAAGGCCUCCUGACUCACUGCCACACACACACCAAGCUCACACUCCAGCUGCCUGCAAGAGCGUGUGCAAAUUAAAGUCAUGAUGGCUGUUCUGAUUGGUGCAUCGACACCUCUGAAAUUUAUAUUAAGGAAGGUCACGCAAAGCCGCAAAAUUCCCCCAGGGAGCCUUCCCUCGUUAUUGUUUAAUGUGGCCAUUCUAAAAAUUACUUUCCCAUAAUCACCCACCUCUGCAGGAGCAGAGCUGUUCUUGGCAGCGUGCUAAAGUAUAGUUUCUGAGCAGCCAGAAGCCUCACAAAAUCUGGGGUGUACAUGUGUGCAUGCAUGCAUGCGUGCGUGCGUGCCUCUGUGUGUGCAUGCAUGUAUGUGCACAUGUGUGUGCAUGUGUGUGCAGGUGUGCUUGUGUACACAUGCGUGUUUGCGUGUGUAGUGUGUGUACACGUGUGUACGCGUGUGUUUGUGUGUACAUGCAUGUAUACGUGUGUGUGUGUGCUCGUGUGUGUGUGUUCUUUUUAAAGAACAAGCUAUAAAAGAUCUGUUCUCAAAGAUGCUCUCAGGAAGCAAAUGGGGUGAAUUCCAAGACCAAUCCGACAAGUUUAUCUUGAAAGGAGUCAUUCAGAGGAAGUACUUGUGCAUUUAUCAAUAGAGAUAAAUUAUCAAUAAAGAAGUGAUUUAUCAAUAAAGAAAGACAUUUUUUGGAAAAAAUAUUAUUUUUAUUUUAUGUAUAUGAAGGUUUGCCGGAGUGUUUAUGUACCGCAUGCAUGCAGUGCCCUCAGAGGCCAAAAGGGGGCACCAGAGUCCCUGAACCUGAGUUACAGGUGUGUGUGCAUGUGCUAGGAAUCAAGCUAGGGCUCUCUGCAGUAGCAGUGAAGUCUUAGCCACUGAGCCAUCUCUCCUGCCCCUCCUGAGACUUUUAUUAAUGAAAACGGAGGUGGGCAUUGUGAGGAGAAAAUGACCUCACAAGGGAAAAGUCAGAGGACAAAAGGUAGCUAGAAAAUUGUUUGAAGCAGCCCACAGGAGGAGGCCAGCUCCACCACAGGCCCUUUGUCAUCCCCAAGUGGGAGCAGGACUCACUGGAGUUUCAAAGACUUGGUCCCACUAUUUCAGAAGGUAUAGAUAGAUUCCUGUUGCUCCUACUGGGUCAAGCCUGGAGGAGCUGAGAAAAUUGUAGCUACGUAAUAUCGCUUUUUUGUUGUUUGGUUUUUUUUUUUUUUUCAGGGAAUUAAAAUAUUUUAAAAUACAGAGGUGGUAAAACAGCUUGCCGUUACAUUAAACUGCCAAGUUCAGCAAAAUGGCCAUCUAAUGCUCUCUCUCUUUCCCUGACAGGAACACAGCCUGACAAACGCUCUAAAGAAGCUCACAGCUCCUGUUUACUUAAUAGGUUGGGAAAAUGGGGGGGGGGGGGUGACUAUCCCAGCAGGCUGAGUGGGAAAUAAUUGCUGACAGGUGAGUAACAGCUACAGGAACAAUGGAAGGGAAAGCUUGCCCGAGACAGCUAGAGUUUUAUUUUAUUUUUUAUAUUCCAAGAAGAGAACGUACAUGAAGGUCACAGCACUUGUGCUGGCUUUUCCAAGAAUUUGUUUCCCUCCCACCCUAUCUCCCUCCCUCUCUCUCUCUCUCCCCCUCCCUCUCUUUCCUCUCUACCUCCCUUGUCUCUCCCUAUCUCUCUCUCUCUUCCUCCCUUUCUCCACACUCCCCCACCCCCACCUCUGUUCUCCCCUGCUGUUGUGUGACAAAACGUUUCCUGAAGAAAAUGCAAACACAUGCCGUCUACUCAGCCCAGAGAGCCCAUGACAGACCACAGUACAGCCACUGUCAAAGACCAACUUGGUGAAGCAAUAAGUUGUACUGGGGUUUAUGGGUAAGAGGUUAGUUACAGGAGCAGAAAUGACUCAGAUGGCAUCCCCAAGGUCCUCCUGAGCCCUGAGCGUGGGCUCACAAAAGCUGGGAACCUGGAGCACACGGCACAGCCUGCAGGCAGCUCUACAGGUCCAAGAGUCAUCUCUCCAGACCAUCAGCGCACAGGUCGAUCGUGCUGACUCACCAGUCCACCUGAAGUGACUGUCAGCCACUGCUCCAGGAGAGAGAGGGGAUUGUGCGAGCCACCCGGAAAUUGGACUGCCCACUCAAUCCCAGGCUGACAUGGAUGCAGAGUUUCCUAUGACUCAACCCGACUGGGAUUUUAACACUGCGUUAAAGCCCCCCGACUUGGAGACAUGCCAGGAGGCUGCAUGAGACCAGUUACAGGAGCCGAGUCAACUUGGCUACUGAGUAUCUCCUAAGAAGGCCCAGUUUUGUCAACUUGAGGUCACCUAUCUGGGCUACAUAUUCUAAGGGGGAGUGGCCAACGCAUGCUGUCAGAUACCCUGGGGGCAAAUCAUCCCAGUUCAUCAACCCAAAGGCAAGUAUGGGAAUUUCUGGGUUUUGUAGACUUUGGGUACCAGGGUUCACUGAGGUAGCCAAACCAUUAUAUGAGGCCACCAGGGCCCAAUAAGAGAAAAUAGAACGUACCCCUGAGACAAACAUGGCUUUAAGACUCUAGGAAGAGCCUUAUUGGAGGUGCUGGCUGUGGCCCUCCCCGACAUUCACAAACUUUCCUCCUGUAUGUGGAUCAGAGAGAGAGGAGAGCAAAGGGGGGGCUCACCCAGUCUUUGGAACCUUGGGAAAGACCUGUGGCUUAUUUAUCUAAGAAGCGGGGCUAGGUGACCCAAAAAUGUCCAGAUCAUAGGUGCCACUGCUCUGCUGGUCAAGGGUGCUGACAAAAUAACCAUGGGGCAGGAAUCUGUUAUCCCUACUCCCCACGCUAUUGAGGGGACCCUCAGGAUCCACCCAGCCAAUGGCUGUCCAACCCCAGACUGGGGUGCACUUUCAGGCUCUGCUUUUGAAUUCCUCUCACAUAAGAUAUAACCCAUCUUCUGCCCUGAACCCAGCCUCCCUGCUACCUGACCCAUCCUCAGAUGGCAGCAUGACUGCUCUCUGUAUAGUCCUGGGGCACCCUCAGAGCAUCAGGCCGGACUUGGCUGACACACCCUGGCCAGGUGCAGAUCGUAUCUACUUCACGGAUGGGGCGGCUACCUCCAGAGUGGAGCCAGGUAUGCAAGGCAUCAGAAAGAGACAUCAGAAAUAGCCCGAGGGAACAGACUAGCUGAUAAAGCCGAAAGGGAGACUGAGCUUCCACUGCGGACAUCCUGGUAGCUUUGCCACCCACUGCGCUCCCCGCUGUCCUAGAAUUUACUCCUGAAGACAAACAACAUCAGGCAAGAUGCCAAGGAGUUUACAGAAGAGACAGACGGUUGCUGGCCUCUGAAGGCUGCACCAUCCCACCUGAGGAGUUUGCUAAGCCACUCACCCAUCAGAUCCAUCAAACUUCACACCAGGUCACUGAAAACGGAAGGAAUGGCUGUGAGGGGCAAGGUACAAAAUAUUUGACUUAGGACACAUGGUUGAUCAGGUAAUCUCGGACUGUGCCACCUGCCAGGCUGUGAACCCCUCAGGCCCCAUCAAGGGCCCCCUACAGAAACCAGAAUGAGGAACAGCCAGGGGCUAAUUGGGAAAUAGAUUAUACAGAAGUAAAACCAGGAACAUAUGGAUAUAGGAUGAGAAGAAGUCUACCUGACAAAGAAGGAGAGUGCCAACACAGUGACAAACUUCUACAAGACAUCAUACCCAGUCUGACACUCAAGCACUCGUCUCUGUUAACUCAACCUCUAGCACAGGUUGUGGGGACCAAUUGGAAAUUACAUUGUUCAUAUAGACUCCAGAGUCCAGGGCAAGUAGAGAGAAUGAAUCGGACCCUGAAGGAGACCUUGCUCAAAUUUACCCUGAAACUGGCAGGGACUGGGCAUCUCUCCCACCUUAUGCCUUAUAUAGGGGUAGGAAUAACCCUUAUAUUUUAGGUCCCCUCUUUUUUUUAGAUCCUAUAUGGGAGGAUCCCACCUGUGCUGCCUAACCUCCAGUCUGAUAUCUUAGCUGAAUAUGACCAAUGUAAGUUUUUUUUUUUUUUAAAUCCUUGGAAGCCCUCCAUAGGAUCCAGAAGCAACUCUGGCCCACCAUCCACCAGGCAUAUGAGUGUGUUCCUCGAAACCCCCAUUGCUUUGAACCAGGUGACUAAAUCUGGUUGAAGAGACAGAGCCAGAAGACUCUGGAACCUUGUUGGAAGGGACCUCACACCGUGAUUCUGGCCAUGCCUAUGGCUGUUAAGGUGGCCAGGAUCGGGAUGUGGAUACAUUACUCCCACGUUAAGCCUGCAGGCAGAGACAAUCCAGCAGCCAAGGUCCCGGAAGAGGAGACGUCCAGGCGAACCUCGACAGGAACGAUAGAAGGUCCUUACCCCACAUCCUGUUGAUCCACUGAAACUGCGACUCCAGUGCUCCGGAUCCUGCUCGCUUGCUACUUCUGCUUUACUGCACCAGUCAGUAGUAGCCCUUGUACACCCAGGGUUGAUGCAACCUUGUCAUCAGGUUCACAAUGGCAGGCAGGAAGGCCGACUGGACUGCUGGUUUUUGUUUUUGUUUUUGUUUUUGUUUUUGUUUUUGUUUUUGUUUUUGUUUUUGUUUUUGUUUUUGUUUUUUCGGAGCUGGGGACCGAACCCAGGGCCUUGCGCUUGCUAGGCAAGCGCUCUACCACUGAGCUAAAUCCCCAACUCCCGGACUGCUGGUUCUUAACUCUCCUCGCCCAGAUUUAACACAGAACCUUUUGUUACCAGACAGGGACUCUGCAUUGGAGAUAAGGUAUCCCCAACCUCCACCCCACGCCCCACGCCGGUGCCUCCUCUGCCCCUAUUCCCACCUUUGCAGCCUCGAUGUAACCCCUACUGUUGCAGGAUACAUGCUGCCCCCAGAGAAUGCUUGGUGGGCUUUUAUCUCGGGGCUUACUCCAUGCAUUUGUGGCCUGGUUGUAAAUACGACUGGGGAUUUUUAUGAUCUAGUACAGCUUGUACCCAGAGUGACUGAUUACUCCGGAGAGACUGUCUUCAACCGGCUAGCACCUCUAAAGAACUGGGUUAUUAAAAGCGUGUUUUACUAGGUUCUCUCCUUGGCACAGGACUGACUGGGGCUGCUACUACAGGGGCCUCAGAGACAUCUCAAGGAUUCGAGAUGACCCAUUACUGAAGGGGAGUGGUGGUGGUGGGGAGAGAGGAGGAUGAGCCAGCCUGACUCCAUGACAGGCUUCAAACUGGCAGUUAAAGAGACCAGACCUAGAUCUCUGUUUCCAAGAACUGGGCAAUUCCAGGCAAGUCCAGGCCUCAGAAGCUGCCCUGCCACGUGGCCUGAGGCAAGGUCAGCAACAGUUUCCAGACUCCCCCAUCUUGUUUCCAGCCCACACACUCCAGCAAUGGAAUGUCUGUAGAGAUGGGCCCCACAGAUUAACAUAGAGGAUUUUCCCAGAAUUCCCUAAUGUGCUUUACAUCGGGCCUGCAAGCUCACUUGGGGGUGUCUAUUCUGGUAAUGGGAGACCCCAGCACGCUGGACUUCUGCAGAAUAAAACACUCUUUGUGUUUGCAUA